UAUGGAGCUAAUGUAUCUUAAUUUGAUCUUAAUUAAAUAAAGUUUGAUAAAAAUUUAUCUCUAAUCAUCAAGCAUUGUACCAUCCUCCAUCAUGACUCUUAUCGAAUACUAUUGAUUUGGUUUCCUUUGAUUUUUGUUGAAUUAUCUAUAUCUUAGAUAAUUUUUGAUCAAAUAAAAUUAGAUGACUGAUCGACCUAGACCUUAGAUAUGGCUACUUAUGAACCGUGUCUUUCCUGAUUAUCUAUAUUCUUUCUAAUCAAUAGACUCAAUUCUAUAUAGUGGCAUAAUCAUUUCAACAAAAAAAUGUACAAUAGUGAGAUACUGAGAUGUGAUCAAUGAAUUGAUGAUUUUGAAAAAUAAUUAUGAAAUUAUAUGGAUUUUAUUGGAGUAUGUGUGAGGUAAG
rnacentral:lncRNA from 1 species